rnacentral:lncRNA from 1 species
UCUGCACCAGUAGCAGCAGUAGAGACUACUCCAGCUGAGGUUGAGGUUCAAACAACCCCAGAGGAAACCAAAGUAGAGGAACCAACCCCAGUUGUAGAAAGCGAAUCCGUCGUCGAAUCAGCACCAGCACCAGCACCAGUAGAAGAGCCUGCUCCCGCUGAGGAAGCAGCCCCUGCUGCCGAAGAACCCGUGGCUGCAGCAGAACCUGCAGCCACAGAAACAGAGGAGCCAGUUGCGGCAACUGAGGAACCAGUUGCGGCCCCAGUCGCGGAGGCUGAACUUGAAGCAGCCCCUGUUGAGGAACCAGAAACAGAGAAAGCUGUCCCUGUAGCAGAGGAAUCAGCUCCAGUAACUGAAGAAGCAGUGGCUGAAGAAACUACAAAUGCAGCAGCUGAGGAACCAGUAGCAGCAGCAGAAUCUGUUGAAGAGAAAGCAGUUCCAGUGGAGAAAGCUGAAGAGUAAAUUCUACUGGAAACUGUCUAAGGAAUUUUAGUGAAGAUGGGGUUGAUGAAUGAUGGGGGUCUUAUUAAAGCUGGUUGUGUUUAUUCUGUUUCUUAGUAUUUUAUUUACUACUAUUAUUACUACUAUAUUAUUAUGGUUACAGUGAGGGCAUGUGUUAUUUUUAGCAUAUGCCUAGGUCUAGGUGGUCGGGUGGAUACUCCAUAGUUUUUUAAGCUAUGU